AUUUUGCUAUAUCAGAGCAGCGUUUUUAAACAACUUCUCACUUCACUGGACCUAGGUGCUGAUUGAGAGCCAGAGAACUGGAAUGCAAUAAGGGAGCUGUGCGAUUUCUUAUUUUGACUUCUUAAUAACCAGUGUGGGAGAU